GAUAGUGUGGUGUAGUGGUUUGAAUGUUGGACUACAACUCUGGAGACCAGGGUUCAAAUCUCUGCUUGGGUA